rnacentral:rRNA from 1 species
GAUGAACGCUGGCGGCGUGCUUAACACAUGCAAGUCGAACGAAGCACUUUACUACGAUUUCUCGGAAUGACGGUUUUGUGACUGAGUGGCGGACGGGUGAGUAACGCGUGGAUAACCUGCCUCAUACAGGGGGAUAACAGCCGGAAACGGCUGCUAAUACCGCAUAAGCGCACGGUACCGCAUGGUACAGUGUGAAAAACUCCGGUGGUAUGGGAUGGAUCCGCGUCUGAUUAGCCAGUUGGCGGGGUAACGGCCCACCAAAGCGACGAUCAGUAGCCGACCUGAGAGGGUGACCGGCCACAUUGGGACUGAGACACGGCCCAGACUCCUACGGGAGGCAGCAGUGGGGGAUAUUGCACAAUGGGGGAAACCCUGAUGCAGCGACGCCGCGUGGAGGAAGAAGGUUUUCGGAUUGUAAACUCCUGUCGUUAGGGACGAUAAUGACGGUACCUAACAAGAAAGCACCGGCUAACUACGUG